rnacentral:sRNA from 1 species
UCGCCAUAGGCAUCGUGGGAGAUGCAGGCGU